rnacentral:lncRNA from 1 species
AGUAAAUUAGUUACGUAUUUUUAACAGCUCGAACUUUUGGAUUAUUAGUUAGUGCCAACGAUCCAACAAAUGGUACCAGAAUUAGAAAUCACGGAUUCGAUUUCUCUUGCAUGCUGCGAAUUUGUACAGGUGCUAGAGGGGGGUAUUAAUUAUUGGCUUAAAUUGGUCAACAUUCUGCCCUAUGGCAGGUGGUUAUGUUGGACUGAAUUACGUUUGAAAUGGCGUGAGAUUGGAUUGGACCGAAUCAUGUUCAAAAUAGUGUGAGGUUGGUUGGGCCGAAUCACAAUCGAAAUCCGUAGGCAUGGUGUUUGUACGUUUUUAGUGAAUUAGUUAUGUAUUUCUAACAGUUCGAGCUUUUAGUUUAAUGGUUAGUACCAACGAUCCGACAAAUCCUUCCUCUAUAGGUUAAUGAAUAGGUUAAUGAAACUACGAAU